rnacentral:rRNA from 1 species
UACGUAGGGGGCUAGCGUUGUUCGGAAUUACUGGGCGUAAAGGGCUCGUAGGCGGCCAACUAAGUCCGACGUGAAAUCCCCAGGCUUAACCUGGGAACUGCGUCGGAUACUGGAUGGCUUGAAUUCGGGAGAGGGAUGCAGAAUUCCAGGUGUAGCGGUGAAAUGCGUAGAUAUCUGGAGGAAUACCGGUGGCGAAGGCGGCAUCCUGGACCGACAUUGACGCUGAGGAGCGAAAGCUAGGGGAGCAAACGGG